UAGAAACAGGCUGAGAGAUAGAGACAGACAGUGGACAUAUACUGUGGUUCAGCUUAAUGUAUACUGUUAUUGGUUACGGCAGGGGACGUAAACAGAGAGACAGGCAGACUGUGAGAGGGACACAAAGACAUAAGAAUGUUGUCAAAAAAGGAGGAGCGGAGAUCAUUCAGCAACGGGCCACUGAGAGACCAAUGGGAGGAGAGAGCUCAAAGCAUGGCGGACCAGUGCAAACAGGAGGCUGAAUGGAAGGAGAAAAGCUCCCAUAAACUAUCUUUCUCAAAGUGGAAUUAUCACUGGUCACUUGUUUCCAAUGGAGACUUCAAGAAGAUCACCAGCAGUAGAGAUGAAGAGGGAAAAAACAAG